rnacentral:tRNA from 1 species
GCCGCGCUGACGCGCUGGUGGCGCGCGCACGUGCAGCCGCGGCCUGCGUGGCGGGGGGUGCACCCCAGCGCCUGGAUCGACCCCGGGGCGCGGGUC